ACGAACGCUGGCGGCGUGCCUAAUACAUGCAAGUUGAGCGCUGAAGGUUGGUACUUGUACCAACUGGAUGAGCAGCGAACGGGUGAGUAACGCGUGGGGAAUCUGCCUUUGAGCGGGGGACAACAUUUGGAAACGAAUGCUAAUACCGCAUAAAAACUUUAAACACAAGUUUUAAGUUUGAAAGAUGCAAUUGCAUCACUCAGAGAUGAUCCCGCGUUGUAUUAGCUAGUUGGUGAGGUAAAGGCUCACCAAGGCGAUGAUACAUAGCCGACCUGAGAGGGUGAUCGGCCACAUUGGGACUGAGACACGGCCCAAACUCCUACGGGAGGCAGCAGUAGGGAAUCUUCGGCAAUGGACGAAAGUCUGACCGAGCAACGCCGCGUGAGUGAAGAAGGUUUUCGGAUCGUAAAACUCUGUUGGUAGAGAAGAACGUUGGUGAGAGUGGAAAGCUCAUCAAGUGACGGAAACUACCCAGAAAGGGACGGCUAACUACGU
rnacentral:rRNA from 1 species